CCCGUUGUAUUUAUAAGUGACAUGUGUGUGGUUUUUUGCAGUACAUAGUAUAUGUAUGCAUUUCUUCAGUGGGGAGAUUAGUGCAUGAUGUCAUAUACACAAUUCAGAAAAUUUGUUUGAUAAUACUUAAGUGUAGGUUAGUCUAUUCUUUCAAGGAGAAAAGAGUAGGUCAAAUUAAUGAAAGACUGAGGUUGUUUGACGGCCGGACCAAGAAGAGCAAGGAGCCAACAAUGGUCAAUUUCUUGCAUCCCAUCCUGGACUCUAAAAGAUUUCAGUUUGCUAUAGGCUAUAGUUUGACUUUUUGCUUCUUGAAGUGAAUGGUAAAGCACCAUGUUGGUUACAUUAGAUUUGUUUGUCAGGCUUGUCUAAAGUCAAUAAUUUCUUGAUCCAUUUUCAAUUUAAGUAAACCAUCCAUAUAAUCAUGAUUUGUUUACCCUAUUCGGUGUUUCUGUUGUGCUUUGUUUUUGUUUGAAGGUUUGGGCUGGAUUGGAUAUCCAAAUGUUUGUGAAUUAUACUUGAUUAAUUGCUUGCUAAAACAAAGAAAGCAUCCAGCAGCACCUCAACCAGGUGUCACAAGAGAACUGAACUAAAUUUCUCAGCUACACAUGUAGUCUUAACAUUGCUAGCUGUUGUCCCUAGAAAUCAUUUAUAGCUGUUGUAUAAGGAUAUUGUAGUUUAUCUUAGUAGGGAAUAGUGUGAUGUUUUCUCUAUUUAAAUUCUAACAUUUUAAACCUCAAACAGAUGGGUUCGUUUGGGAAGGAUCUUGAGCUGUUAGACUCAGCUAGAAUUUUGCCAAUGAGAAUUAGAGACCAGACAACUGCACUUAAGCUUGCUAAGCUACCCAUUUAUUCCUUCUAUUCGUUGAUUAUAGGAACAACACAUGCAUUCAUCAUACAAACCUGCAGCUUAUGUGCGAUAAGAUGGACUCGACAUAAAGAAGUUUCUCUUCGUCUGCUCUGAUUUUUGAGCCAAGACCCUUGGGAGUUUGUCUAGCCUCAUUAUCAAAAGUGUGCAUCAGUUAGUUAUGACCUCAUCUCUUCAGUGAGAUGUUUUCCUCCAUGAAGGUUCCUCCUUACAUUGGGUCUAUUAUCCUAUUACGCGUGCUUGAUUUCUACUGGAUAUUUUUGCCGAUGAUGGAUUUCCGUAUUGUUCUGCAGGAUAUCCCUGACGAUCACAGGGAAUGCUCCAAACAAAAGAAAAUAAUUGUAUCAGGUAAGUGCAAUAAUUUGUUGAUCUCUACAAGUAAAGAGGAAGGAAUCUGUUUCUUACUUUGGUGUGUGUGACAUGAAACAUCAUUUCCUAAGUAAACAAAUUAUUUGCUUGCCAUUGAAAACAAAAAUUUGAGCAAAUAUAUAUAUUAUUGUUCAUGAUCUUUCUUUUUUGUCUGUAUCGAAGUUCAUGGUCGCUCAAUAUAUAUGAUGUUGUGAUCGUGUCUGAUUUGUGCAUACUUAAUUUUUUUCUUCAGUUCUGCCUUAUUGAUAAAGAAUGCAUCAUCAUAGUAGUUGUUAUUUAAAAUCUGUAUGGAUUGGUGCAUCUGCAUUCAUAGAAUGAUCUUUUCUUUAGAUUGUGUGUGAAGUUUUUAGAUAAUGCACCAUGUCUGACUUCAUAAAAAAGCCAUCAAUGGCAAGAUCAAGUCACACUGAAGUUAAGUUAAAAGGUUACAGAACAAAGCGGUUUGAUAUGGAAUACACACUAUUUUCAUUUUCAUUAACAUGAAGUCUGCCAUUAACGUACUUUGUUCUUAACAUUUUUUUACCAAAUGCAGGGGAAUGUCACCAAUAUUUUUUCUGAUGUGCUAUCACCACUGAUAAUUAUCUUUACCGUUUGUCCUUUGAAUUGCAGCCUGCGAAGCGUAAAUGCUGGACUAUUGUUUCUCCCCUGAUGCACAUGUUUCGCCACAGACAAUAUAGUGUGUGUGUGUGUGUGUGUGUGUGAUCUCUGAAAUUAGUUUUUAGGUUAUUCUAUGUGUUGAGUACUUCUGUAAUUUCCACGGGCGUGUUUCAUAUUUUCUGUGUAUUGUCUAUCAUUCUUUUAAUCGUUAAUAUUUCUUGUAGUUUUUCAUAUUUAGUUUCAGCCGCGUUUCAUUUCUCGCAGACCUACACCUAUUAGGAAAAGCAUAGUUUCAUUUUGAUCAUGUUUCUUUUAGUUAUUCAGUGUUUGUUCAUUAAUGUAGCAGAGUAAGCAGUACAUUUUGUCCAUUAGUUAAAUCACUCAUGUCACAUUCAGUUGAUUAGGUUCAGUUUUUGUUCCUUUCUUCUUCGUUCCUUCAGUUUUUUGUUCCUUUAUUUAGUCAUUGUGCUUGCACCAUUUGCCGGUAUUUGAUUCAAUAUAACCAUUUAGUCCAUCUCAAUAGACCCUUAUGGUUCUUGAUAGUUUCUCUCUUUCAUAGAUCAGACUUUUCCGCUUUUUCAGUUAGGCUAAUUUAUGCUUUCAAUUUCAGUUUUUAGUCUUCGCUUGAUUUAGUUGGACAGUGUGUUCAGUAUUUCAAUAGUUCAGUUGUUUCAUUGAUUGAUAUGUGCAUUUUCGUACUUAGUGAAGCAUCUUAAUGCAUUUUCAUACUUUGUGAAGCAUCUUAAUUUGAUUGAUAUGUGCAUUCAGUUGAGAACUCACAAGUAGAACAACUGUGCUUCACUUCAUCAGAUGGUAAUUUUUAUCGGUUAUAGACUUAUAGUUACAAUUACUAGAAGUAGCAAAGGUCUGCGUUUGUUUAGACCUUGAGUUGGUAGCUAUGCCUUUUUUGUUUCAGAUCAUAUGUUGGUACUUCAUUUUACUCAGAUCAUAUGAAGGUGAGUGUAAUUGUGUAAUCUGGAUUAGACGCAAUGAAAUUCAGAAGUAGUAGAAGUAUACUAUUUUUUACUUUCUGAUUACUAUAGAAGUACACCGCUGCAUGGUACUCCCUCUGUUCCUAAAUAUAAGUCUUUGUAGAGAUUUCACUAUAGACUACAUACGGAGCAAAAUGAGUGAAUCUACACUCUAAAAUGCAUCUAUAUACAUCCGUAUGUGGUUCAUAGUGAAAUGUCUACAAAGACUUAUAUUUAGGAAUGGAGGGAGUAAAUUAUUGCCAUGGCCUCAAUGGCAGGUUGUACCUGAUAGUGAUAUAUCCUACGAGUACCGGAUGGUCAACAUCCUUACCUGACAGGUAUGGAUUCCACAUAGUAGCCUAGCAGUGCAUGGAAAACUAGGUUCGGUCUGAAGUCUGAACCCCUGAAGAAGCAAAAGCCAAAAACAGAGAUCAGACGACCAAAUACGAGAGUGCAUCUUCUCCUUUUUUGUCUUUUUGUUGAGUGUGCAUCUUCCAACCUGGCUGUAGGCUAUAAUCAACUCAAUUUUGUUUUCUCCAUGUGAUAGCCAGGUAGGUGGCUACGUGGUAAAAUAAGCUCAACUUUCUUUUAAUACAUCUGGAUCAUGUCUUUAGAGUGUAGAGAUGCAACAUCAUAUACAUACAAGGAAUGGUCGACGACCACUUUUACAUUCAUCUUUUUUGUUUGUGAGUUCAGAGCUUCUAUUAUUACAACUGCACGCUCCAGUCAUGCUGAAUACAUGGGAGCAGUACAUUCAGUAGAAGGAGAUACAGAUUUAAGCUAUGCUCGCCAUUCAACUUUUGCCACACUCGUUCAGUAAUCAGUACAACUCAUUCUGCUUCAGGAUGGAAGCUUCGAAUGGCUAGCAGAACCAAGGCUGCCGGGACACCAUCACCUUGAGGUAGUGCCAUGGCCGUAGGUGCUGAUGUCGCAUGGGCAGCACCGCGGCCGCGGGAUCACUGUUGUGUAGUGCCACAGCCUCCGACUCGGUGUUGCGUGGUGGAAGUGCAGUGGUCAAGUUCGACGGCAUUGAAGCGAGGUGUGAGAUCCCAGCGCUCCAAAUGACGGGUCGUGGCCGUCGGAGGGCCAACAGAGGACAAGGGUUAACAACCGGUGGUGGAGGGCGAGUCUGAGAAAUCAUGAGCUUUUUCCUUCUAUGAAAACUGAUAAAGUUGCAACAUAGUUUGCUCAAAGGUGUGCAUCGGUGCAGAUUGAGCAAGGCACAAUCUGAGAAGAAAAACACAAAAUUAGAAACAGUGUGCAUCAUGUGUAUGUUGGCUGAGCGAUGCUGUUGGGGGCCCGGUUGUGGCGCAGCCCUUUGGCGUGGUGCCCUCUUGCGUUGCCGCUAUGGUUGCCUCGCAUUGGACGGGAGGAGAUAAGUAAAUCCCCAAUUAAGAUGCACAAUUAAGAUCCCCAAUUAAACUAGCAACAUCAUUAUGGAAGGGAAAUGAUUGGAUAACAAACUUUAUAGAUUUAGUAUCAUAUCAUUCAUUUGUGACAACAUCAUCAUAAUUGCGCAUCUCUGAAUAUUUUAGGCCCUUGCUCUUGGAAGAUUAGACUGAUCUGGUGUUGCUUUAUAAAUAAAUGACAUGCUAACUUACGGGUUUGAUUUAGGUGUGUAGGCAGAGGCAAAAAAAAAGAAUCACAAUCUCAGGUUUAGGCAUGCACAUGGCCAUGCUCACAAAAUAAGUAGGCACGGAUGCAAUAUUGUGAUUUUCAGCAAGAGAAAGAGAAGUAAAG
rnacentral:lncRNA from 1 species